GACGAACGCUGGCGGCGUGCUUAACACAUGCAAGUCGAACGGAAAGGCCCUGCUUUUGUGGGGUGCUCGAGUGGCGAACGUGUGAGUAACACGUGAGUAACCUGCCCUUGACUUUGGGAUAACUUCAGGAAACUGGGGCUAAUACCGGAUAGGAGCUCCUGCUGCAUGGUGGGGUUUGGAAAGUUUCGGCGGUUGGGGAUGGACUCGCGGCUUAUCAGCUUGUUGGUGGGGUAGUGGCUUACCAAGGCUUUGACGGGUAGCCGGCCUGAGAGGGUGACCGGCCACAUUGGGACUGAGAUACGGCCCAGACUCCUACGGGAGGCAGCAGUGGGGAAUAUUGCACCAUGGGCGGAAGCCUGAUGCAGCAACGCCGCGUGCGGGAUGACGGCCUUCGGGUUGUAAACCGCUUUCGCCUGUGACGAAGCGUGAGUGACGGUAAUGGGUAAAGAAGCACCGGCUAACUACGUG
rnacentral:rRNA from 1 species